rnacentral:tRNA from 1 species
AUUUAAAUAGCUUAAAGAGAGCAUUACACUGAAGCUGUAAGGGUAGUAAAAUUACUUUUAAAUA